GCCUCUGUAGCUCAGCGGAAAGAGCACCGGUCUUCUAAACCGUUGGUCGCAGGUUCGAGUCCUGCCAGAGGCG
rnacentral:tRNA from 1 species